AAUAAUUCUCCUGUCAGGGCCCCAGCAACGAGGGACAGUCAGCUGAAGAUUUUCAGAUGUUGCCUUCUGCAUGCACCAAAUAUACUCAUCAGCUAAACUGAAGGACAGCAUGUUUGAGGACUGUUUGAUGUCAGACGUGUGAGUAUACACAUACCAGCUAUAUAUAUACAAGAAGAUAAGAAAAAUAGAGGGAGG